rnacentral:lncRNA from 1 species
GAAAAACAAAUAAGCACAUAAAAGGGAAAAGACAGGAGGAAGUAAAAGAUUUAAACCAUUGGGCCCAAAUCAACGAAACCUGUCCUAAUCUAAUUUAGGCUUUCGACCCAUUUUUCACCUGUCCUAAUCUAUGUUUUCGAGCCUUUUUGGCCCAAAAUCCACUUCACCUGUAUUAAAUUUACAUCUUUGGCUUCGAGGCCCGAAAUGAAUAAAAAUAAAUAAAUGAAGGCAACAAUGAAUGUGAGACUUUCAAGUCUCCUUUGCCGCUUCAAGGAUAGGACUUUAGCCCAUUUCUUCUUCUUUCGCCUCCUUGUAUUCGGUAUGCCAUAAGAUUGAUAUUUGGACUUAGUCUUUCAAAAUCGACUCAGGGUUAUUAGGCCUCGAUGGCCCACAAUAGACAUGCAUAGGAAAAGGAGUCUAUGUAGGACUCGAACGUAUCCACAUGCAAAAGAAAAGCAAACUAAUUAACAUAUGUUCAAAUGUUACCUAACACAUAAAUAACGACAUGAAAAGAGAACAUUUUUAUGCAAAAAUGAAAAUAAUAUUAGCAUGAUUUACAUAAAAGAGAUCAUAUCGGUUUACUAAUCCCUUUUUCUCUUUUUUUUCGGGAAGGUAUCAUAUUAAGUUCUCCUGACUAAAACAUAUACUUCAAACAUUUAUCAAAGAGAUCAGUGGAAAACGUGGCUUAAUAUCAGUAAAGAAAAAACUUUAAGAUUUUUAGCCCUAUGAACCAAAAUUAGGCCAAGAUAGAGAAAUAUUAAUGAACGACCAACCUAAGCGACACAAAAUGAACUUAGAAACUUUAUUUUUUGCAAAUAAAUAAGACAAGAGACUAUUAUCGAACUUAAAUGACAUUUGAAUAUAAGUCCAACAUUACUAAUCAAGAGAAACAUACAAUCAGUGACAGGCCAAAAUAGGCAAGAUCAAAGUUUAUAUCUAAAAGAGAAAGGAAAAUUCGUCAUAAUUGGUAAAUCCAAAACAAGCCAAAAAAGGGAACAAAUAGUAGAUCAACAAAGAUAAGGAAAUUAUGCUUCCAAGAAUAUUGGGGAAGUGUACAGUAAUACAAACAGAGAGAAAAAUAAGCAGGAAGAACCGAACAUUUUCUAUCGCAACAUAUAAUUCAGCGGAUUUGAAAUGCCUAAGUAGUCUUAAUUAUGAUGAAGAGAUAGACCAUAUUUUACACAAUUAACAUACAAAGAUGCACACGACUAGCAAUCUUCAAGUUGAAUAUACUACAAACUCAGGAUCAUCCUCUCUUUGACCAACUCGAACUGAACUGUCAAGGGUCGAAGAAAAGAUCUUUGAAGGUUUAUAGGAUUAUCGAUCUUACCAAGGACAUUCACCCACUAUUCUAUGGACUUUAAAGGUCAAAAGAAUUAGGAGGCAGCCCGUUAUCUAGUCAAUACAGCAGAUUCUAGGCCAUCAGUAACAUCGAACUAGAAACAAAAUUAUCAAAAUGAAACCAAAACUUACUCUAAGAUGACAUAACGAGACUAAAACAUGGAUAUUUAGCUAAAGAGAUAGAAAAUCAGACUACAAUAUUGGAGUAUAAAAGUGUCAUGUCGGCAAUUAAUAAAAUCUAGCAUUACAGUGAUUUCAGAAGCGAAUAUGACAUCCCUUCGUCAUUAUAAUUUAGCAUAUAGGAGAGAACAAGCAAUGACACACUCGAAAAGAAUGAAAUAGUCGGAACAGCUACCAAGAAAGGACUUUAAAUCAAACACAACAAGCUUUAGCAAGAUUCGAACCCAAAAAAUGCAACAGAAGGCUUUUAGCCCAAAAUAUGAGUUAAAGAUGACUAAACAAGCGAGUGUCAUAUAUAUGUAAGAGAAAACAACACAAAAACAUGGUUCAAGCUGCAUAACAGACCAUAAGCUAAAGAAAAAGAAAUUUUGCACCAAUACGCGGGUAAAGCAGUGUAUACCAUUGAACUACUAUAAAAAUCCUAUUACUAGCAUUAUCAAAUGAUUGCAGCAACGUAUUGAUUUGAGAAGAAAACCAUGUAAUAAUAAUUAUUACUGACAAACUAUACAGCCAUUAAAGGCAUCUACAACAGCUAAUUCCCAGCAUAGAAAAUUAUCGUAAAUAUCAUUAUAUCUACAGAAUGGCGAGAUAAAGAAGAAAUAAACGAAACUAAAUAGAAUGGAGAGUUACCGGUUUCGGAGCAGCAAAAUAGAACCUCGAGCUCCUUCGGAGUUCACCACCACCGGAAAAUUCAAUGCUGCUACGAAAAUAUUUACUAGCCGACUACUAUUCCUUCAAAUUUUACUGAAGAAAAUUCUCUUCUAUACUUGCGACCAAUUUUUUUUCCCUUUUUUUGUGUGUUUCUGCUUUUUGAAAAAAAUUUCCACAUUCUUUUCUUUCUCCAAAAGGAUCUAUAUAUAGAGAACAGAGACCCCCUCCCAAAUAUUGCUCCAUCGAUGUGGGAUAAAGUGAUUCAAGGGAAAAUUAGGGAAUUUUUCAAAAGGGAAUUCAAAAUUUGAACUCAAGAUAAGAUUACCCCUCACAAAUUAUACCAAUUUUGUGGUUUCUUGAGGGAAUUCAAUGGGGGUUUACCAAUGGAAUUUGGGGAAAAUUGAAUCCUCCCUCAAAUCAAUAAAAAAUGCCCAAAUAUGUACCAAAUUCGUACCAUUAUCCCGAGAUUUGCGGAGUUAGCCAUUUGGGGGAGACGCCUGAGCACUUCUAGAGAGUUCUUAGCAUCUUUCUCGUACAAAUCAGCUGAGAUGCCUGAUGAAGAUGAAAAAGAAACGGGUUGGGGUCGGGUUUCGCCGUUGGAUGCGAGUCGGAGACGGGUCGAUGGUUUGCUGGAGUUGUACGCCAUUUUUAACUGUUGUUGUCUUUUUUGCGUAUUGUACGCAGCUAUUGCUGUUGUACGCUGAUGGGAUUUUUUUUUGGCUGAAGCUGUUGUUGUUAAAGAAAAAACUGGCCGGGUCAGGGGGUUUUGGAGUUGGGCUGGGCAGUGGUGUGUGCUGAAAUUAAAAGGAGAAAAAAAAAUGGGCUGAUGGGUUUAGGAAAUUAGAAGGAUUGGUUUUGGAGUAAUUGAAGAGUGGGCUUCCAGGUGUUGGGCCGCUGGGCUGGCAGAAUUGGGUUGUGAUUGGGCCCAUUUAACUGUUGGGCCUAUUUAAAGGGGAAAUAAAGGCUGGUGAUGCUUUUUGUUAAAAUUGUUGGGUUAUUUUUUGGUAGAUUAGGGAUUUAGGUAAUUUUUUGGGUGUUAAUUUAGAAAAUAACCCCAACUAGAUUUGGGGUUAUUCAAAAAAUAAUUUCAAUUCUAAUUUAGCCUAUUCUAUUUAAAUUUUGAUCAAACUAAAAGUCAAUCGGCCAAUUGCAUUGCAAUUGUAAUUUAGUUUCAAUUAUAAUCGAAUUUAAUAGAUUAUUUAAAUUAAAAUGAAGUUCGAUAGGAAUUAACUCCUCAUUUAAUCCCGAGCUUCUUGAUUUAAUAAAAUCAAACACAUAUUUAUCCAAAUAAAUUAUCUUUAAGAAUAAAUUAUAUUUAAAUUAAGAUUUUAAUUCUUUGAAUUUAUUUCCAAGCUCAGUCUCAAUAAAAGUCCAAUUUUGAUGAAAAUAUUGAUUUAAAUAACAUCAUUUAUACAAUCUCGUAUAUGUAAAUACAAAAAUAUAAUUAUCACUUAAAUGACAAAUUUAGCCCAAAUAAAUAUUUUUAAAAUGCAUUUAUUUGAAAAAAAUCCAAACCCC